rnacentral:misc_RNA from 1 species
GAACGCAUCUUGCACCCUUUGGUAUUCCAAAGGGUACGCCUGUUUCAGUAUCAUUAUAACCUUUCUCCCCAAGGCUUUUUGGCCAAGGAGGGAAAGAGUAUAACCGGUGGCCCAGCGGUCUCCCAUCAGGGGGAUUGUCUCGGCUGGAAUGACUGUUGCAAUGGUGGGCCAAAUGGUCUUCCGCACUUGAUAAAUGUACUUUUAUAAAGAGCGGGGCCGGUCUGCCGAAAGUUGUAACUAAACCCUUUACCUUUGAUCUGAAAUCAGGCGGGAUUACCCGCUGAACUUAAG